rnacentral:tRNA from 1 species
GGGGUUGUGGCUCAGAGGUAAAGCACCCACCUAGCAUGUGUGAAGCACUAGGUUCAAUUCUCAGCACCA